rnacentral:lncRNA from 1 species
UAGAGGCUCAAAGGGGGAAGCCAGCUAGACUAGAGAUUUUUUUCUGUUUUCUAUUUUUAUUUAUUUUCUAUUUUUUUUGCCUUUUUUUUAUACACUGCAUUUUUUAUUUUGCGGGGGUGGGACAUUUCUCAGCUGGUGAUUAAGUGAUGGACUAGUUACUCAUCCCUCCAGUCUUUGUGUGUGUGUGUGUGUGUGCGUGCGUGUAUGUCUGAACACACGCAGACCAGCUCACACUCACACACACACACACACACACUCACACACACAUUCAAAUCCUCUUUGCCACUGCGGUGGGCACAAAUAGGUGAGCAUGACUACAGCCAAGGAGCAAAAUGCAUCAGGGAAACAAGCCCAGCAGCAGGAUCAGCACAGGGGCAGAUGGAUGUGGAUGGCACUCCUCUGUAUGAACACUGAGCAAUCUGCAGAGCCUUGCUGCGGUAGCUGGAAUCUGGCAGGAGGUGACCAGUUAACACAAAAAGCCAGGAAGGAAAUCAAAUAGGUGUAGGAGAUGCUGAAAUCAAC